CUCCGAAUUUUGGGAACUUAACUUCCAACGGGAAAUCGAGGACACAGAGAGAGGCAGCCAUGGGACCACCUCCUCUGUUUGCAGCCAGCCAGCCAGAUCAGACCUGCGUACUGGUCCACUGGGCUCAGACCAGGAGUGUGGGAGUCUCUUCAGUCCUCAAGUUGUCUCAAAAACUCUUCUUCUUGUCGCUCUUCCAACCCUGUCUUGAGUAUGACCCCGAGUUCCUCCCGGGAACCUAAAGAGACCCUAGACUGCCCCCACUGAGCACCAGAGCUCCAAUGGAGAAACUUAUUGCAUGCUGUCCUGGAGAGGUUCCCUAAUUACCGUGGUUCUCUUGCCUCCCAACAAGAUCAGAGGCUCCACAUAGGCUGCACCUCCACCCUCCUUCCUGCAGCCUCCCUCACCUCCUCUGCACCCAGCUGAGUGCAAGGCUUAUAACAUGUGGCACAUAAAUUUUCAUGAUGUCUGAUUUAAAACGAGGUGCGCAUAUAAAAAAUUUGGCGAGGUACUUGUAAUUUACUGAUAAAUUAUACAGCAGCC
rnacentral:lncRNA from 1 species